AUCCAUCUGACGAGUUCUAAAUAGAACGAGACGCGUGUCAAACUGGAU
rnacentral:hammerhead_ribozyme from 1 species